rnacentral:rRNA from 1 species
UACGUAGGUGGCAAGCGUUGUCCGGAUUUACUGGGCGUAAAGAGCGCGCAGGCGGUCGUUCAAGUCGCGUGUGAAAGCCCCCCGGCUCAACUGGGGAGGGUCACGCGAUACUGAUCGACUCGAAGGCAGGAGAGGGUAGUGGAAAUUCCCGGUGUAGUGGUGAAAUGCGUAGAUAUCGGGAGGAACACCAGUGGCGAAGGCGACUACCUGGCCUGUUCUUGACGCUGAGGCGCGAAAGCUAGGGGAGCAAACGGGG